ACUGAGAUACGGCCCAGACUUCUACGGAAGGCAGCAGUUAAGAAUCUUGCGCAAUGGGCGAAAGCCUGACGCAGCGACGCCGCGUGGACGAUGAAGGCCUUCGGGUUGUACAGUCCGGUAAGCAGGGAAGAAUAAGUUUCGUUGAAUAAGCGGAACGAUGACGGUACCUGCCUAAAGCCCCGGCUAACUACGUGCCAGCAGCCGCGGUAAUACGUAUGGGGCGAGCGUUGUUCGGAAUUAUUGGGCAUAAAGGGCGUCUAGGCGGGGAAUUAAGUUAGGUGUGAAAGCCAUGGGCUCAACCCGUGAAUUGCAUCUAAAACUGAUUCUCUUGAGUUCGGGAGAGGAGAGCGGAAUUCCUGGUGUAGCGGUGAAAUGCGUAGAUAUCAGGAAGAACACCAGUGGCGAAGGCGGCUCUCUGGCCUAGAACUGACGCUGAAGCGCGAAAGCGUGGGGAGCGAACGGGAUUAGAUACCCCGGUAGUCCACGCCGUAAACGUUGUGUACUAGGUGUUAGUGCUUUAAGCACUAGUGCCGACGCUAACGCAUUAAGUACACCGCCUGGGGAGUACGCCCGCAAGGGUUAAACUCAAAGAAACUGACGGGGGCCCGCACAAGCGGUGGAGCAUGUGGUUUAAUUCGAUGAUACGCGAAGAACCUUACCAGGGCUUGAACUGUUUCUGACAGGUGUAGAGAUACACCCUCCUUCGGGCAGAUUCAGAGGUGCUGCAUGGUUGUCGUCAGCUCGUGUCGUGAGAUGUUGGGUUAAGUCCCGCAACGAGCGCAACCCUUACUCCUUGUUGCUAUCAGGUCAUGCUGGGCACUCUAGGGGAACUGCCGGUGAUAAACCGGAGGAAGGUGGGGAUGACGUCAAAUCAGCACGGCCCUUAUGUCCUGGGCUACACACGUGCUACAAUGGCCGGUACAAUGAGUUGCGAUGCCGCGAGGUGGAGCUAAUCUCAAAAAACCGGUCUCAGUUCGGAUUGCAGUCUGCAACUCGACUGCAUGAAGCUGGAAUCGCUAGUAAUCGGAGAUCAGCACGCUCCGGUGAAUACGUUCCCGGGCCUUGUACACACCGCCCGUCACACCAUCCGAGUUGGCAGCACCCGAAGUGGCUGAGCUAACCGUUUACGGAGGCAGGUUACU
rnacentral:rRNA from 1 species